UUGCCACAGCGGGACUGUGACCUGAGGACAGGAACUGCAGCUCACUCAUUCUGCAGGUGAUCGCAGGUGGACACGGAGGGCCCCUCACGUGCUGAACAUCGUAUACACGAGGGAUGUGAUCCAUGCCACAACGCUUAAGGUGACAAGGAACCUCAUUUGACAAAUGAGAAAACAGGCUCAGAGAGGUUCAGCCAUUUGCACAAGCCUGGCUGGACCUGAGCCUGGGCUUUUUCAACAGCACAGUGCCGCCCCUACAGGGACCCCAGGACCCCAGGAUGUAAACGGGGCCUAGCAGGUAGGCAGAUGAGACCAGCACAGUGCAGCGGUACCACGAUCAGGGAGCCCUGGGGCCUGUGGGAGCCUGGCAGGUCGGGAGGGGGCAUGGAGAAGUCCUGGCAUGGGGGUCAGCCGGUGAGGAAGAGGAGCAGGGUGUCUGAGACUAAGGGAGCACUGUGGCGAAAGCAUGGAGCUGUGACAGAAUGAUGUGCCUGGGGAAUCAGCUCUUUAUGUUUUCCUUUUGGUGGAGUGGAAAAUGUGUGCUGGAGAGGAGGUGUUAGGAGAAGUCCCAGCUCUCAGCCAGAGCGGCCCGGAGACAAGGUUGCUUAUUAGAUGUGCCAGUGGCGACGCCCCACGAGAGCCUGGCACUUCCAGACGCCUCGGCAGGUGGAACAGGGACGGAAACCAGCCGGGCAGAAUGAACAGGGAGAGCCAGAAUAACCUGCGUCCAGGGGCCCAGGGCCAGUUGCACAAAUGGAAAAGUUACUGGCAAGGCUUUUUUUUCCUCCCAAAUUAUCUUUCAAAAGUACAUCUCCUGAGGCUGAGACCAGGAGGUCUGUUUCCUGGGCCUGUGCCCAGAAGGUUCUCGGUACAUUCCGUGGACAUUCUGUGGGUGCUGCUCCACACCACUGGGCGUCGUGGGAGAGGCUUUCACAGGAGGUGGCCAGCGGCCCUGCACCAGGAAGGGCCAGCCCAGCAACGCCGUAAGGCUGCCCUGCCCACUCACACAGCUGGGGUUGGCCUGACCCACAUGAACGUCCCCAGCCCCACCCAGGCACAGUCAUCCAGCUGCCCGAGACCAGGAGGGCCACGGCCAGGUGGACAGCAGCUUUGGGUGGGGAGGUGGGGAUAAAAUUCCCUUCCUGGGGUAGGAACAGAGGGCGGCCACCUGUGCCUGGGAGGAGCUGUGGACGGUGGCUGGGAGGACUGGUCUGGGGGAGGCUGAGGAUCAGGGAGGCCUGAAUAGCAGCGACGGCUCCUGAAUGAGACAGCUGUCUUCAGACCCCCAGGCAAGCCCCCGUGGCCCUGCGCCUUGGUUUCCUCGGCUGUCACGUGGGCGUGGCGGACAGAGCAGGGAGUUACUUAUAAUAGUACAGCCCCGGAAAUAACCCUCGUGUCCAGCAGCAGGGGAGCAGCCAAGUACCUCAUCUGGAAGCUGGCUGUGAUGAUUCUGCAAGGGUCGCCACCACGCUCCACCUGCUGAGAGCCCCUGAACCAGGAGCAGUGACUCCAGCUCCGAAAUUCCGGUGUGGCUGCUUCUCCUGUAGCGCUUGGCUGGGUCCUCCACGCGCCUUCCCAGCAGGACGCACCUGCUAAGGGCCCCCAAAUACUCUCAUGACACUCAGCUUCUGUUGCUCAGUGAGCAUAGUAAGUCCCGCCUGCCUUGCGGUCUUGCUGGGAGGACACAAGACUGCCUGGAGAGCACUUUGUAAACUGGAAAUGACUGCUAAGACUGGGGGGCUGACAGCACCAGCCUUCAAGCAAGAAGCCUCAGGGCCUGGGCUGCCAUCAGGGCGCAUAUCUGCUCCUCCUUCACUGUUUCACGCGCCGUGGCCCAGAGGUGGAUUUUAUGAUUAUUUAGAUACAUUAUAUUUUUAUUGUAAACAAAAAUAAUGCACACACUUAGGUAAAAGAAUAAGUCAAAUAACCCUAAAAUGUUCAGAAGAAAUGAACUAUCUCCCUGGCCCUCCUGGCCUUGUCACUCCCCAGAACGACCAGUUUCCACUGUGGUUGUUCCUUGGGUUUUGGCCUCCACAGUUCUCAGUAAGUGUUCCCACUGCUAUUGAUGUUUCAAUUCCAGACAUUUUUAUUACCUUCUGGUCGUGACAAAUGAGGCUUCAGAUCUCCUGCUUCCACCUACAUCCCUUGGCAUCCCCUAAGGGGUUCAUCCAGUUCUUCCUUAACCUCUGGUCAAGGGUUUUAUUAUGAUUAUGUAAAUGUUACUCCAUGAAAGUCACUAAGGGGUUCAGUGACAGUCCUUUGCUCUUUCGGUUUUGUUUAUGCCCUGGAGUGUAAUGCAUUAAAAACCAGCCAAAAAACCAAA